AGGGCCGCGCCGCCGCGGUCCUAGUGCCACCAGAGAAGCCGCGGACCCGGCCCGCAGAUAACACCCGGGCUUGCAGAGCGCUUUCAUCUGCCCGACGCGGAAAUCUCCUGCAGCGAUCUUCUACCUUCAGCGUGCAUCCGCAGCACCCAGAGGGCACGUUAAAGAGAGAUUGAGAACCACCAGCAAAACUGCUGAUUCACUCAGACCAGAUGGCAUCUGAGAUAAAAUACGCAUUGAAUAAGAUAAAUG
rnacentral:lncRNA from 1 species